rnacentral:sRNA from 1 species
AUAAUGACAUGAUAGCUAAUCCAUACCCCUGCAUGAUUUUAUCUUCCACGGAAGGAGGCUGGCAAGUUUAAAGGGGACACCCUCAAAGAUCAGCCAGGGGAAACCACUUCUGGUUUCUCAGCUACCAGGAGGCAACCUGAACGUGUCAGGGCCUGGGCACGACACUUGCCUUUCUUGGAGGAGUGAUUUGAAGCCAUAGUGGAAGACUGAGCCUCUAUAAAAAAUGAACGAGGACACUCUUAAUGGACAGAUACAAAACAAGCCCCAGGAGAAAGGUGUAUCAACCAUUUUAAAUCUGCCCUCAAAAGCACAGAACAAAUCAGACGGCAUUUUGCUCACAGAGGAGAGGGUCUAUGAGAACCAAAUUCCAGCUUCAGCACAUGGCCUUGGGUACAGCUACAAGAUGGAGGAAGCUAUUUGACCUGCCUCAGACUUUACGUGAACAAAAGGGUGUUGUUAUGUCCAAAGCCAUCUUGCCAUGAGCAGCCUGAGAAUGGAGCCAAUGACUGAGGGUGGCAGAGCAGAAAGAUGGUAA